rnacentral:rRNA from 1 species
AUUGAACGCUGGCGGCAGGCCUAACACAUGCAAGUCGAACGAGUGGCGGACGGGUGAGUAAUGUCUGGGAAACUGCCUGGUGGAGGGGGAUAACUACUGGAAACGGUAGCUACUACCGCAUACCAUCAGAUGUGCCCAGAUGGGAUUAGCUUGUUGGUGGGGUAACGGCUCACCAAGGCGACGAUCCCUAGCUGGUCGGAGAGGAUGACCAGCCACACUGGAACUGAGACACGGUCCAGACUCCCACGGGAGGCAGCAGUGGGGAAUAUUGCACAAUGGGCGCAAGCCUGAUGCAGCCAUGCCGCGUGUGUGAAGAAGGUCUUCGGAUUGUAAAGCACGUUAAGUUGGGAGGCGUUACCAACAGAAUAAGCACCGGCUAACUUCGUGCCAGCAGCCGCGGUAAUAC